rnacentral:rRNA from 1 species
GAUGAACGCUGGCGGCGUGCCUAAUACAUGCAAGUAGAACGCUGAAGGAAGGAGCUUGCUCUUUCCGGAUGAGUUGCGAACGGGUGAGUAACGCGUAGGUAACCUGCCUGGUAGCGGGGGAUAACUAUUGGAAACGAUAGCUAAUACCGCAUAACAGUAGAUGUUGCAUGAUAUCUACUUAAAAGGUGCAAUUGCACCACUACCAGAUGGACCUGCGUUGUAUUAGCUAGUUGGUGAGGUAACGGCUCACCAAGGCGACGAUACAUAGCCGACCUGAGAGGGUGAUCGGCCACACUGGGACUGAGACACGGCCCAGACCCCUACGGGAGGCAGCAGUAGGGAAUCUUCGGCAAUGGACGGAAGUCUGACCGAGCAACGCCGCGUGAGUGAAGAAGGUUUUCGGAUCGUAAAGCUCUGUUGUAAGAGAAGAACGAGUGUGAGAGUGGAAAGUUCACACUGUGACGGUAUCUUACCAGAAAGGGACGGCUAACUACGUG